rnacentral:rRNA from 1 species
AUUGAACGCUGGCGGCAGGCCUAACACAUGCAAGUCGAACGAGUGGCGGACGGGUGAGUAAUGUCUGGGAAACUGCCCGAUGGAGGGGGAUAACUACUGGAAACGGUAGCUAAUACCGCGUACCAUUGGAUGUGCCCAGAUGGGUUUAGCUUGUAGGUGAGGUAACGGCUCACCUAGGCGACGAUCCCUAGCUGGUCUGAGAGGAUGACCAGCCACUCUGGAAUUGAGCCACGGUCCAGACUCCUACGGGAGGCAGCAGUGGGGAAUAUUGCACAAUGGGGGCAAGCCUGAUGCAGCCAUGCCGCGUGUAUGAAGAAGGCCUUCGGGUUUUAAAGUACGUUCAGCGGGGAGGCGUUACCCGCAGAAGAAGCACCGGCUAACUCCGUGCCAGCAGCCGCGGUAAUUC